AAGGUUUGAGCACCUCAGUAGGAGACCAAAGGAGAAACCAUGUGUUGAGUAUGUGAGACCUGAGAGACAUGGUCACCUAAUUAAACACUGCCUGCAAGUCUUGCCCUCCCAGCUAUUUAACCGGAUGCCCAACCCUGGCCUCUAUGCAGCCUCUCUGCUCUCCAGCAAUCCCGGGUUUGAUUAGCACUGCCAGGAGAUGAGUUGGAUACUGACUGCGUGUUUUCACCUUAGUUGUUCUCAAGGCUGUGGGGGAGGAAAGCGAAAGGAAAAGUGAGUGUCAGGUGGAUUGGACAGCAAGUUGUUUUUAGCACACAGAUCAGCCACAGCUCAUGGCUUCAUCAUCAGAAGAGGGAAAAGAUAUUUGGUG